rnacentral:rRNA from 1 species
GACGAACGCUGGCGGCGUGCUUAACACAUGCAAGUCGUACGGUAAGGCCCUUUCGGGGGUACACGAGUGGCGAACGGGUGAGUAACACGUGAGUAACCUGCCCACAACUUUGGGAUAACGCUAGGAAACUGGUGCUAAUACUGGAUAUGUGCUCCUGCUGCAUGGUGGGGGUUGGAAAGCUCCGGCGGUUGUGGAUGGACUCGCGGCCUAUCAGCUUGUUGGUGGGGUAGUGGCCUACCAAGGCGGCGACGGGUAGCCGGCCUGAGAGGGUGACCGGCCACAUUGGGACUGGGAUACGGCCCAGACUCCUACGGGAGGCAGCAGGGGGGAAUAGUGCACAAUGGGCGCAAGCCUGAUGCAGCAACGCCGCGUGCGGGAUGACGGCCUUCGGGUUGUAAACCGCUUUCAGCAGGGACGAAGCUUUUUGUGACGUUACCUGCAGAAGAAGCACCGGCUAACUACGUG